GUUAUGACAUUCUAAUACUUAGCAGAAUUCUGCGGUAACAUAAUUUCUGCGAGUAUAAAAGGCCGUGAGUUCUGAGUUUGAAUCACUCUAACCAGAACGGUUGGGUCGGUAGGUGGUAACGCAAGAAUAUGAGAAUAAAAGAAAGACAAAAGCUUUGAAAGUUGAUGGUUUGUAAUUAACAACCUCAUAAGGAAAAGAAAUAACAUACAAAUAUAACAGAAAAACUUGCAGAAUUUUAACAGAAAACUUGCAGAAUUUUAACAGAAAACUUGCAGAAUUUUAACAUAAUUAUUAACUUAUAACUCUAACUACUCUCAUGUAAUGUUAUCAUUGACAUAAAUGUAUUAUGUUCAUAAAUGUGUGAUAUGAUGAAAAUAAUAAAUGAUAUGUUUGACAAAAAUUAUAAAAAGUGUUUAUUUUUCACUUCUUAACUAAAAGAAAUUUAUCUUGACACGAUUCGCUACCGCUUCCGAAGAUAUUUUACUUUCACAAAAGUCAGAGUCGUGACAGUAUACAUGUUUUAUAGACAUCUCUAGUUUUAGAUAUUGUAAGGCAUAAGUGGCACAGAAACACCUCUCAAUAACCAAGAUAUAUGCUUAUUUUCUACAUUUGGAAUGAAUGUCUGUGUGAAUAAAAUAUUAGUCAA